AUUGAACGCUGGCGGCAUGCCUUACACAUGCAAGUCGAACGGCAGCACGGGGCAACCUGGUGGCGAGUGGCGAACGGGUGAGUAAUGCAUCGGAACGUACCUUUCAGUGGGGGAUAACGUAGCGAAAGUUACGCUAAUACCGCAUAUUCUGUGAGCAGGAAAGCAGGGGAUCGUAAGACCUUGCGCUGAUUGAGAGGGCGAUGUCAGAUUAGCUAGUUGGUGAGGUAAAGGCUCACCAAGGCGACGAUCUGUAGCGGGUCUGAGAGGAUGAUCCGCCACACUGGAACUGAGACACGGUCCAGACUCCUACGGGAGGCAGCAGUGGGGAAUUUUGGACAAUGGGGGCAACCCUGAUCCAGCCAUGCCGCGUGAGUGAAGAAGGCCUUCGGGUUGUAAAGCUCUUUCGGCCGGGAAGAAAUCGCACGGGCUAAUACCCUGUGUGGAUGACGGUACCGGAAUAAGAAGCACCGGCUAACUACGUGCCAGCCGCCGCCGUAAUAC
rnacentral:rRNA from 1 species